rnacentral:rRNA from 1 species
GACGUAGGGUGCAAGCGUUGUCCGGAAUUAUUGGGCGUAAAGAGCUCGUAGGCGGUUUGUCGCGUCUGCUGUGAAAACCCGAGGCUCAACCUCGGGCCUGCAGUGGGUACGGGCAGACUAGAGUGCGGUAGGGGAGAUUGGAAUUCCUGGUGUAGCGGUGAAAUGCGCAGAUAUCAGGAGGAACACCGAUGGCGAAGGCAGGUCUCUGGGCAUUAACUGACGCUGAGGAGCGAAAGCAUGGGGAGCGAACAGG